rnacentral:rRNA from 1 species
UACGAAGGGGGCUAGCGUUGCUCGGAAUUACUGGGCGUAAAGCGCACGUAGGCGGCUUUGUAAGUUAGAGGUGAAAGCCCGGGGCUCAACUCCGGAAUUGCCUUUAAGACUGCAUCGCUAGAAUUGUGGAGAGGUAAGUGGAAUUCCGAGUGCAGAGGUGAAAUUCGUAGAUAUUCGGAAGAACACCAGUGGCGAAGGCGACUUACUGGACACAUAUUGACGCUGAGGUGCGAAAGCGUGGGGAGCAAACAGG